UACGUAGGGGGCAAGCGUUGUCCGGAAUCAUUGGGCGUAAAGAGCGUGUAGGCGGCCCGAUAAGUCCGCUGUGAAAGUCCAGGGCUCAACCCUGGAAUGCCGGUGGAUACUGUCGGGCUCGAAUCCGGAAGAGGUGAGUGGAAUUCCUGGUGUAGCGGUGAAAUGCGUAGAUAUCAGGAGGAACACCUGUGGUGUAGACAGCUUACUGGACCACUUCUGACGCUGAGACACGAAAGCGUGGGUAGCAAACAGG
rnacentral:rRNA from 1 species